AUUUGGUAAACCUAGGGUUCAAUUUUCUUGCUCACCCCCUUUUCGUUUAUUUCAAUUAGUCGUCCAUCUCUCUCUAUAUGCAAGAAUGUUCACAUAAAACUCAGAUUACACACUAAUAUUUACACGAAUUCGAAAGACCAAGUUCGGGAAAGAUUGAACCUUUUGUAAAAUUUUGCCAGAUUUGGGGGCUCAAUAAGUUCCUAGGAUUUUUGUAGUCUCUUUCAACUUUCGGGGUUUCUAUGGCUGGUAAUUCAGUUGGAGCGAAACCCAUAUGGAUGAAGCAAGCCGAGGAGGCAAAACUAAAGAGCGAUGCUGAGAAAGAUGCAGCCGCCAAAGCGGCAUUCGAGGCUACUUUUAAAGAUGUGGAGAAAACCAAAAGGACGGAAUUGUCUUCUGACAGUGAAGGUGAGGAUGAAUGGGAAGACUUAGCCAACAAACCCAUAGGGCCGGUGGAUCCUGCCAAGUGUACGGCUGCUGGGGCAGGUAUAGCCGGUGGGACUGCAUGCUCUCAUUCAUCAUUCAUGGUAGUGACAAAUGAUGCUAAUGGAAGGAAAGUCCCCAAUGGUGGAGCGCUGAUCAAGGUAAAAGUCUCGCCAGGACCAGGUGUUGGAGGAUCUGACCAGGAUGGGAUUGUGAAGGAUAUGGGAGAUGGAACUUAUACAGUUACAUAUGUGGUGCCAAAGAGGGGUAAUUAUAUGGUGAAUGUGGAAUGUAAUGGGAAGUACAUUAUGGGUAGUCCUUUUCCCGUCUUCUUCAGUGCAGGUAGCACCGCAGGAAGUUUGCUGGGUACUGUUCCAGCAGCGAACUUUCCAAAUUUAGUUAAUCAGACCAUGCCUAAUAUGCCAAACUAUUCUGGGUCUGUUUCUGGAGCAUUUCCUGGACUUAUUGGAAUGAUCCCAGGAUUGGUUGCUGGUGCUUCAGGUGGGGUGGUUUUACCUGGAAUGGGUGCUUCUCUUGGUGAAAUUUGUAGGGAAUAUCUUAAUGGACGCUGUGCAAAAACUGAUUGCAAGUUCAAUCAUCCACCCCACAACUUGCUGAUGACAGCAAUAGCUGCCACUACAUCAAUGAACAAUCUAAGUCAAGUGCCCAUGGCACCUUCUGCAGCUGCAAUGGCUGCUGCACAGGCAAUUGUAGCUGCUCAAGCCCUUCAAGCACAUGCUGCUCAGGCACAAGUUCAAUCCGGACUAAUUGAAAAAGAGGGGAGGGCAGAAGCUCUAAAGAAAACUCUACAAAUUAGCAAUCUCAGUCCCCUACUUACUGUGGAUCAGUUGAAACAGAUUUUUGGUGUAUUUGGCACUAUUGUUGAUUGUUGCAUCACUGAUUCAAAGCAUUUCGCAUACAUAGAAUACUCAAAAACUGAAGAAACGACAGCAGCAUUGACUUUAAAUAACUUUGAAGUUGGAGGUCGGCCUUUAAAUAUUGAAAUGGCGAAAACACUCCCACAAAAGCCAGCUGUAUUGAAUUCACAAUUUGCUUCAUCUUCGUUGAUGAUGCAGCAAGCAGUUGCCAUGCAACAAAUGCAAUUCCAACAGGCACUAUUAAUGCAACAGACACUGACUGCACAGCAAGCAGCAAAUCGAGCUGCAACCAUGAAGAAUGCGACAGAGCUGGCUGCAGCUAGAGCUGCUGAAGUUAGUAUGAAGUUAAAGGCGGAUGGACUUGUUAUUGAAGAUACUGAAACACAAAAGAAUGCUAGAUCUCGUUCAGCCACUCCUUCAAAGUCAAGGUCCAGAUCAAGAUCCAUGUCCAGGUCUCCUGUCACUUAUAGAGGCAGGCGGAAGUCUCGCUCGUUUUCACCUCGCCCCCGUCAUUUCAGAGACAAUAGAUCAAGGUCUCCAAUAAGAUCCCGUAACUACUCUAGCUAUGACUACGAACGAAGAUCCUAUAGGGGCAGCAAAGAUGACACUUUUCGAAGGAGGAGAGAUUUAGGGAGAUCAUAUGAUGAUAAUUCUUCUGUUUCAAAGAGAAAUAGGAGUCGUAGCGUGAGCCCUCAACGAAGAAAAUCAUAUAGAGAUGAUUUUGACUCCCCAAAACAUCAUAGAGAAAAUUCAAGAAACAAAUCAAGGAAGCCUUCCCGUUCAAGAUCACCUGGGCAUCACAGGAGCAGGAGGUUAUCUCCUAAAACUGAUGAAAGAUCCAAAGGAAGAAGACGCUCCAGAUCAAAAUCCUCAGAUGGUAGGCGUCAAUCUGGUGAUAAAAUUGAUGUAAACGGAGAAGAAAAGUCAAAGUAUCGUGACAGAAGGCGGUCCAGAUCAGCUUCAGUAGACCGUAAGCACCAUGGGGGAAGUAGGCUGUCCCCAGUUGGUUCAGAUGGAAGUAAAUCAAAGCACAGAAAGUGUUCUAGGUCAAAAUCUCCAGAAGGCAAACGUCAAAAUAGAGAUAAGGAGCGAAGCAGAGAUGAGAAAUCAAAGGAUCCUGAAAGAAAAAAGUACAGAUCAAGAUCUUCAGAUAAUAAGCAUAAAAAAAGAAGUAGAAAGUCUCCUGGGCAUUCAAAUGAGCUUAAAUCAAAGCAUAGAAGGCGUUCAAGGUCAAAAUCGACAGAACAGGCAAUUCGUAUUGACAACGAUCCAACAAAUGAAGCUGAUAAAGAGGUGAAAAACGAUGAUAAAAAAAACCCUGUCAAGUCUGAUGAUUAUGUAAACGGCGUGGUUUAUUCCGAGAAGAGUGCAGCAUUAGACACUUCUCCAGAAAUGGACAAAAAAACCUCCAUUAUAGAUGAAGACAUGGAGUGCUAAAGUGAAGGGAGUCACGAAAGUGCAAACAGAGACAUUGAAGAGUUGAAAACUAAUCCCUUAUUUAUAAAAUGGUGUUGAUCAAGAUGGUUAUGUAGUUGCUGCCAGAAUUUUUCCUUAUGGUUGAUGGAGAAGUGCAGAAUCCAGAAUGGAAACCAGCACUAUCGAGGAUCAUAUGGAUUUUCUUUUGGCACAUGGAAUUUGCUUAUGUUUUCUGGACAUCUUUGAAUAAUCCUUUUUUCUCUCUUCCCACCCUCCCCCCUUCUUUUUGCAGGUUUAUUGAGAAUAGAUUGGUUAGGACGAGAGAAUCUUCUGAUGGUUAAGGAUUUCAAGUAUCCUGCAGUUCUAGCCUGGAUCAGCUGCAGAAUUUUUUUAAUCCAACUUCUUAGGCUAAUGGAUGCUUCACUCUGAUACCUUAUCAGUGUCAUUGGCCUGCCUAAUUCCAAUAACUGCAGGUACUCGCACUGGUUGUUUGGGCGCAUUGUCUUAUCAAUUAUUAAAAGGUCACUAUGAUUGUGCUAUCAAGAAUGUCUGGUUUAGUAAGCUACUUCCAAGGUUGGCUACAACCAGGUGUGCUUAUAUUUCAAGGGGUUAAGUCUCAGAAGAUUGCAAAACGGAAACUGUUAAAUAACCAGUGGUGCAGUUGAAACAGGUGUCAUUUUGUUGAAAUCUUUUAUUAGAGACAUCUUUUUAGCAAUGAAGUUUUUGCUGCCAAUUUUUCACAUUUUUUUUAUCAUUAGUUCAUCUGUAGAAACCAUUAGUUGUUAUAAAGCUAAUGUUAAUUUAUGUUUCUAUUUAGUAUUAAAUCAAUGCUUUUGAAGCUA